GCUUCGGCGGUGUAGUGGUAGUAACACGCAUCCCCGGUAUGGAUUAAUCGCGGGUUCGAUUUCCUCCUGAGGCC